AAAUAAGAAGCAACUUGCAUAUUAGUUUCGACCUAAUACAUUGGUAUAAACAAUACCCUUAUUUU
rnacentral:tRNA from 1 species